CCCGCUUAUGUGACGAAGCCUCGGAAAAAGAUGCUGCUGAGACCACCAUCUUAGAAAGCUGGCAUAAAAUGGAUGUGCUUUAUGCAGUGAUUACAGAGCUUUAUAACGGACGUCACUGCCGCGGCACAGGAUAAGAAUUCACCUUUUCCGUCUGCGAUUUUCACCAUCCGCCUCCAAGAGUGCCUGCAGGACUUGUCAAUGUGGAAGACAAUGCUUGAACAGUAUCAACAAGAAACAGGGAGAGAAGAUCAGUUGCUUUAAGCUUAUCCCACUAAAAGAAAUGACCACCAGACUUACCGAUGAACAUCUCCCUGUUUGUCAGCUUUCUCUGCAUUUGCAAACGUCUGAUGGAAGACAUCGAAAACCGAACUGAUCCAAGAGGAGGAGACCACUGCUAUUUCUAUCGGACAUGAAUGUCUCAAAAAUUGUAAUUGCACUCACUUUCCUGUCUUGAUGCUUCAUAAAUCGAAGGAGUGAAACCUGCAAUAUGGACAAGUUGUAAAGCAUUGCAUUUAUUCCUUAAAUGUCCUACUUGUUGAUCAAUUGAUUCUAUUGACCGUCCUCAAAUAAAUAUCUAAAAUGUAUAUAUAAACACAAUAUUCACUAUGGACAACAACAUUGAAUACUUAACAUGGGUGGAAGUAAGUGAUCUUCACUUAGCCCAACUACUUAUUAGAUGGAAAAAAUUGUGUUUUCUUUGCACAAUCAAGAAACGUUAAGAAAUGAUUGAUUCAGAUCAUUAGGGAAAGUGUUGCAGUGUGAACCUAAACUUAAUUGCCAUUGUAGAUUCAAACUAUAAAACCCCCAUGAAACCUAAUAUGUGACACUCAUUGUCAUGUUUAAACUGCUUUUGGUAAGACGUUACUUGUAAUAGCAUGUAUUUAAAGACAAAUAUUGAACUACACAAAUUACAACAAUUGCUAAGCAUGGUCACAAAUCUAGAAAAUAAAUAAAUAAUCAUGUAAAUGUAUUGUUCAUGAACUUGAUUACCAAACAGUUCUGUGUCUUUUGUUUUAAUUUCCAAAUAAAAGGUGGUGAGCAGGUCCUUAGAGUGGCCCUCUGUUUCCUGCUCAAGACUGACCAUCUUUGUAUACAAUCAUGUUUUAGGUUUUUCUUUUUCGCAGCAGUUUUUAUAGAAAUUAAAACAAAAGAUAUGGAAUGGCUUGAAAAUUAAGUUCACUGAACAAUAUAUGCUUAGCAAUUGUUGUGUUAUACUUUACUGUUACUAUUUAUCUUCUGUCUUUGUUAUCUUUAUAUUUUCUUGAGUUGAUGUUUCUGAAAACAAUUGGCGGCUAUUGUGGUUGCUCAUAUUCAGUAAUGGUCAUCCACCUGCAUUUGAUUAAAGAGAAUCCCCCUUGAAACAUCUUGCGCUAAGGGUAUACUGUACCAAUAUCCAGCGGUGUGCUAAGAAAUGUUGCUGCUAGUCUAGGUAGAAACUGGAAGAGGGGCUGAUAACUGCAAGUGGUGGGCAUUCUGGCACACGUCAGGCACUGAUUAGGACUGUAAAUAUUUUUUAUUUGUAAAGUGUUAACAUUUGUCUAUUGGUACACUUGUCAAUAAUUACCCAAUAAACCUAUGUACCUGUAAACGUAUUGGCAAGUAUUUUUCAGUUAGCUUGACAUCUUAGUGAAAAAAAAAAAAA